GAUGAACGCUGGCGGCGUGCCUAAUACAUGCAAGUCGAGCGAACAGACGAGGAGCUUGCUCCUCUGACGUAGCGGCGGACGGGUGAGUAACACGUGGAUAACCUACCUAUAAGACUGGGAUAACUUCGGGAAACCGGAGCUAAUACCGGAUAAUAUAUUGAACCGCAUGGUUCAAUAGUGAAAGACGGUUUUGCUGUCACUUAUAUAUGGAUCCGCGCCGCAUUAGCUAGUUGGUAAGGUAACGGCUUACCAAGGCAACGAUGCGUAGCCGACCUGAGAGGGUGAUCGGCCACACUGGAACUGAGACACGGUCCAGACUCCUACGGGAGGCAGCAGUAGGGAAUCUUCCGCAAUGGGCGAAAGCCUGACGGAGCAACGCCGCGUGAGUGAUGAAGGUCUUCGGAUCGUAAAACUCUGUUAUUAGGGAAGAACAAAUGUGUAAGUAACUAUGCACGUCUUGACGGUACCUAAUCAGAAAGCCACGGCUAACUACGUGCCAGCAGCCGCGGUAAUACGUAGGUGGCAAGCGUUAUCCGGAAUUAUUGGGCGUAAAGCGCGCGUAGGCGGUUUUUUAAGUCUGAUGUGAAAGCCCACGGCUCAACCGUGGAGGGUCAUUGGAAACUGGAAAACUUGAGUGCAGAAGAGGAAAGUGGAAUUCCAUGUGUAGCGGUGAAAUGCGCAGAGAUAUGGAGGAACACCAGUGGCGAAGGCGACUUUCUGGUCUGUAACUGACGCUGAUGUGCGAAAGCGUGGGGAUCAAACAGG
rnacentral:rRNA from 1 species